rnacentral:lncRNA from 1 species
GGCUUCUCCCCUUUCCAUUAAAUGCAUAACAGAAAUACAUAGAUUUGUUCCGAGACCAGAGAAAAGAAGGGAAAGAGAGAGAAGCGAGCUCAGAGCAAUGCUAGGAAACCCACCGCCUUGCGGCUGUCAUCAGGAACACAAGGCUAUGGGGCGAAAACCUAGCAUCACCCAAAACCCCGCCACGACUCUAAGGAGGAUAGAGCAACAUCCAGUACCGC